rnacentral:rRNA from 1 species
AAGUCGUAAACAAGUCUCCGUAGGUGAACCUGCGGAGGAUCACUUACCGAGUGGCGCUCCGCGCCCACCUCCAACCUUGUCGACUUAAUACUGCUUGCUCGGGUCGACCGGACGUCGCCGGACCCCCCGAUCAACCGACACACUGCGUCCUUGCGUCGGAGUAUUGAAACAUCAAUCAAAACUUUCAACAACGGAUCUCUUGGUUCUGGCAUCGAUGAAGAACGCAGCGAAUGCGAUAAGUAAUGUGAAUUGCAGAAUUCAGUGAAUCAUCGAAUCUUUGAUCGCAUUGCGCCCUUUGCAUUCGAAGGGGCAUGCCGUUCGAGCGUCAUUACACCACCUCGAGCCUGGCUCGGUAUUGGCGUCGGAUGCCCCGCGCCUCUAUUGGUCGCUGGACGGUUCGAAUCUCAGCGUGUGGUUUCAUCAGGAUCGCUGACGAGACGACCGACGCGCCGUAAACCCCCCACGUGGAUCUCGAUCAGGUAGGGAUACCCGCUGACUUAA